rnacentral:rRNA from 1 species
AGAGUUUGAUCCUGGCUCAGGACGAACGCUGGCGGCGCGCCUAACACAUGCAAGUCGAACGAGCGAGAGAGAGCUUGCUUUCUCGAGCGAGUGGCGAACGGGUGAGUAACGCGUGAGGAACCUGCCUCAAAGAGGGGGACAACAGUUGGAAACGACUGCUAAUACCGCAUAAGCCCACGGUGCCGCAUGGCACAGAGGGAAAAGGAGCAAUCCGCUUUGAGAUGGCCUCGCGUCCGAUUAGCUAGUUGGUGAGGUAACGGCCCACCAAGGCAACGAUCGGUAGCCGGACUGAGAGGUUGAACGGCCACAUUGGGACUGAGACACGGCCCAGACUCCUACGGGAGGCAGCAGUGGGGAAUAUUGCACAAUGGGGGAAACCGUGAUGCAGCGACGCCGCGUGGAGGAAGAAGGUCUUCGGAUUGUAAACUCCUGUUGUUGGGGAAGAUAAUGACGGUACCCAUCAAGGAAGUGACGGCUAACUACGUGCCAGCAGCCGCGGUAAAACGUAGGUCACAAGCGUUGUCCGGAAUUACUGGGUGUAAAGGGAGCGCAGGCGGGAAGACAAGUUGGAAGUGAAAUCUAUGGGCUCAACCCAUAAACUGCUUUCAAAACUGUUUUUCUUGAGUAGUGCAGAGGUAGGCGGAAUUCCCGGUGUAGCGGUGGAAUGCGUAGAUAUCGGGAGGAACACCAGUGGCGAAGGCGGCCUACUGGGCACCAACUGACGCUGAGGCUCGAAAGUGUGGGUAGCAAACAGGAUUAGAUACCCUGGUAGUCCACACCGUAAACGAUGAUUACUAGGUGUUGGAGGAUUGACCCCUUCAGUGCCGCAGUUAACACAAUAAGUAAUCCACCUGGGGAGUACGACCGCAAGGUUGAAACUCAAAGGAAUUGACGGGGGCCCGCGCAAGCAGUGGAGUAUGUGGUUUAAUUCGACGCAACGCGAAGAACCUUACCAAGUCUUGACAUCCCUUGACAGGCAUAGAAAUAUGUUUUCUCUUCGGAGCAAGGAGACAGGUGGUGCAUGGUUGUCGUCAGCUCGUGUCGUGAGAUGUUGGGUUAAGUCCCGCAACGAGCGCAACCCUUAUGGUCAGUUACUACGCAAGAGGACUCUGGCCAGACUGCCGUUGACAAAACGGAGGAAGGUGGGGAUGACGUCAAAUCAUCAUGCCCUUUAUGACUUGGGCUACACACGUACUACAAUGGCGUUAAACAAAGAGAAGCAAGACCGCGAG